AGUGGUCCCGCGACCAUCAAACCAACAACACCGUCCUGCCGCCGCCGUUCGUUCGGCGAAAACGGCGGCCGACCGACCCCUACUUCCUCCUCUUCUUCUUCUUCUCUUCUCUUCUCUCGCCGCCGCCGACGCCCGCUCUCACAAGCGACGGACGUCGGCGACGUGGCGACGGACGUCGUCGACCUCCUCUCCGUAACGCCGCGCGCUGCGCUCCCGCCGCCGUCGUUAUCCCGCGGAAUAGGAUCCGUCCCGAUCGCGGAUGGAUCCCUUGCGAUCCCGGGCCGCUCGCCCGAAGAGCAGUCGUCCUCUUCGUGGAGAGGAGCAACGCGCGGGAGACAAGGAAGAGGAAGCAAAAGUCGCCAGAUACCAGGUAGAGCUAUGCGGUUCGCCGGCCUGGUACCGGGGCCUCUACUCUCAUGAAUGGAAGAGGGUUCGCCAGGAUCGAUGGUGAGGGCGUGCUGCCUUCCAGGGGAGGAUUGGUGUUUAACCGUGACGUUUCCAACCCCACCUGAGCGAGGCUACCGCGGCGUACACGUGCUCAGUUACGUCACGAGGACGAGUCAGGACCUUCGUGCCAUUCAGGUCAUCAUCCGUGAAAAGCAAACUGAAGGAUUCGCCGCUUUACCGGGGAACCUGCGUGAUCCCGAAGUUGGAAGAACAGACGAGACGGUGUCACGGUAAGAAAAAGAAAGAAAAAAAAAAGCGGAAUGUGUGUGUAAAGGUGACAUGAGCGUUUUUUCGCGUGUAGAAUGAUGAUAAUAAUAGUCUCGUGAUUUAUUUAUUGAUGGUUAAUUUAUCGAUUGGCUACAGUUUUAGUGUCUCGGAAUAGAAAAGAAGUUCCAUAAAUUCCGCUUCUCUGAAUUUCGAUCGAUGAAACCGCGCUUUUGUGAUACGGCGAGUACGUCGCACGCACCUUUUUUUAGUUCGCACAGGGAUCGAGAAAUAAAUGAAGGGUUACGAAGCUUAGCGUUCGCCUUAAAAAUUACGGAAGAAACAAGAAAAUUUAAAGAACUUUCAACGCGCUGAUUUAUGCAUGUACACCGAGGGAAAAAAACUUGACUAAAUCUCUCAGCCCGAUUAAAUUUUUCCAGUUCAACUAUUUAUGUUUGACUUUAAUAUGUAAAAUACUUCUCAGCUUAAGCAGUUGUAUAUUUAAUUUAAUUACAUAUACUUGAAUGAAUAAAUGCUUAAACUGAGGAAAUUCAAGUUGAAGAAUUUAGUCGAGUUAACAACUCUUUUUUUUUUUCGGUGCACGUAAAACAGGAAGUGUUAAAUCGUAUCUUAAUUUUAUAUUAUCUCACAUAUUUAUAAAUGGCUAUUAUUAUGUAUAUCUUUUAUUAAUCUUGAUAAAAUUAUUGGAAAGUCGCGUGAAAAAGUUAAAGAGGGAGAGAAAAAACUUGCUCUCGCGGGGAAGGACAGAUCGAUAUAUCUCAAUCGUGUCGGCGUCGCUCUUACCUCCCCGCGACUUUAUAGCGCUUAUAAUUAGCUUCAUACCGCCACGCCCGAUUACACACCUUCCUGCCCUUUUGCGUUACUUGUCUUCGGACUCUUCGGUAACUUCGGGAAAGGCUAUUACCGAUCGGCUUCGUCGAGGACGAUUAAAUCAUCUUGGCCAAAUUAAAUCGUUACCCACCAGCAAUUAAGCACCUUGUUACGUAAAUUAAUCUCGCAUCUCAAAUUUCAAUUUUUACCCAACUUUCAAUUAACUUGCACAGAACGACGACAUCCUUUAAUUAUCGAUGUAAUUGCGUUGUAAAGUAAUUCCGACGCAAAGUCUCAAUAAUUUUGCAUAUACGUACAAAAAACACAUUUAUUUUUGAAAAAUGAAGAAUAAUCCGGCGUUUUGUUCGAAAAUGUCGCGCACGUCAUCGGACUAGGUGACUUCAUACUCGUUAUUGGAUCACGUAGCCGUUCGUCCCUCUCCUCCGUCCGAGAAAUUAUUUUUUCCGUCAAUAAUGGGGCAUCGCCCUACACGUCGCGCAGAUGUCACGUGUGACGGGGGCAUUUAAAUAUCUUCCUAUUAAAUUCCUGGCUCCGCUGCACGGGUGCCCCCCUGUGCUCGCGAGGGUUUAAACCCCCUCCCGCCCCUGUCUUUCUCUCUCUUUCUCUCUUUUUCGCGUGGAGGUAACCCUGACCCACAGCUUCGGCCGACGAGGUUCCAGCCCUUUGAGGGAAUGCCCCCAUUGUGUCGCGGAGACCAAGCACUUUUCCCUCUCCCUCUUCUCUCCCCUGCCCGCGUCUUUCUCUCCACUCGUCCGACGAUUCCUUCGCGAUGGAUAUGAAUUAGCCUUCAUGGGCACAGGGGGAAAGCGGAGUAGAGCAACUGCAGUAACUGCGGACUCACCCUCCGCAAACACGCGCCUUUUAAAACGAGUGGAACCCUCGGAGAAAGUAACGACACGACUUUCCGUCCCCCUCAUUUUUUCGCGCGUCAUCGACAACAG
rnacentral:lncRNA from 13 species